rnacentral:misc_RNA from 1 species
GAUGAAGAACGUAGCGAAAUGCGAUAAGUAGUGGGAAUUGCAGAAUUCAGUGAAUCAUCGAAUCUUUGAACGCACAUUGCGCCCCAUGGUAUUCCGUGGGGCAUGCCUGUUCGAGCGUCAUUUACCCCCUCAAGCUCCGCUUGGUGUUGGGCGUCUGUCCCGCUUCGCGCGCGGACUCGCCCCAAAGGUAUUGGCAGCGGUCGUGCCAGCUUCUCGCGCAGCACAUUGCGCUUCUCGAGGCACCGGUGGGCCCGCGUCCAUCAAGCUCCCCCCCCCAGUUUGACCUCGGAUCAGGUAGGGAUACCCGCUGAACUUAAGCAUAUCAAUAAGCGGAGGA